UACAGAGGUCCCAAGCGUUGUUCGGAUUCACUGGGCGUAAAGGGUGCGCAGGUGGCGAGGUAAGUCGGAUGUGAAAGCUCGGAGCUCAACUCCGAAAUGGCAUUGGAAACUACCUUGCUUGAGGGAUGGAGGGGGGACUGGAAUUCUCGGUGUAGCAGUGAAAUGCGUAGAUAUCGAGAGGAACACCAGUGGCGAAGGCAGGUCUCUGGGCAUUAACUGACGCUGAGGAGCGAAAGCAUGGGGAGCGAACAGG
rnacentral:rRNA from 1 species